rnacentral:sRNA from 1 species
AUCGCUUCUCGGCCUUUUGGCUAAGAUCAAGUGUAGACAAACUCUCUCACACUAGCCCUAUUCCUAGUUCUAACCUAAUCUCUGACUAUAACCUAA